rnacentral:rRNA from 1 species
GACGAACGCUGGCGGCGUGCUUAACACAUGCAAGUCGAACGGAAAGGCCCUGCUUUUGUGGGGUGCUCGAGUGGCGAACGGGUGAGUAACACGUGAGUAACCUGCCCUUGACUUUGGGAUAACUUCAGGAAACUGGGGCUAAUACCGGAUAAGAGCUCCUGCUGCAUGGUGGGGGUUGGAAAGUUUCGGCGGUUGGGGAUGGACUCCCGGCUUAUCAGCUUGUUGGUGGGGUAGUGGCUUACCAAGGCUUUGACGGGUAGCCGGCCUGGGUGGGUGACCGGCCACAUUGGGACUGAGAUACGGCCCAGACUCCUACGGGAGGCAGCAGUGGGGAAAAUUGCACAAUGGGCGGAAGCCUGAUGCAGCAACGCCGCGUGCGGGAUGACGGCCUUCGGGUGGUAAACCGCUUUCGCCUGUGACGAAGCGUGAGUGACGGUAAUGAGUAAAGAAGCACCGGCUAACUACGUG